rnacentral:rRNA from 1 species
CACGUAGGGGGCAAGCGUUGUCCGGAUUUACUGGGCGUAAAGAGCGUGUAGGCGCCAAGCAGGUCCGUUGUGAAACUGGAGGCUUAACCUCCAGACGUCGACGGAAACCGCGUGGCUAGAGUCCGGAAGAGGAGAGUGGAAUUCCUGGUGUAGCGGUGAAAUGCGCAGAUAUCAGGAAGAACACCAAUGGCGAAGGCAGCUCUCUGGGACGGUACUGACGCUGAGACGCGAAAGCGUGGGGAGCGAACAGG